rnacentral:rRNA from 2 species
GGGUGAAAAACCCGCACGCCGGAAGACCAAGGGUUCCUGUCCAACGUUAAUCGGGGCAGGGUGAGUCGACCCCUAAGGCGAGGCCGAAAGGCGUAGUCGAUGGGAAACAGGUUAAUAUUCCUGUACUCGGUGUUACUGCGAAGGGGGGACGGAGAAGGCUAUGUUGGCCGGGCGACGGUUGUCCCGGUUUAAGCAUGUAGGCGGAUGUUCCAGGUAAAUCCGGAACGUUAUUAACGCUGAGGUGUGAUGACGAGGCACUACGGUGCUGAAGUGACAAAUGCCCUGCUUCCAGGAAAAGCCUCUAAGCAUCAGGUAACAUCAAAUCGUACCCCAAACCGACACAGGUGGUCAGGUAGAGAAUACCAAGGCGCUUGAGAGAACUCGGGUGAAGGAACUAGGCAAAAUGGUGCCGUAACUUCGGGAGAAGGCACGCUGAUGGUAGGUGAAGUGACUUGCUCAUGGAGCUGAAAUCAGUCGAAGAUACCAGCUGGCUGCAACUGUUUAUUAAAAACACAGCACUGUGCAAACACGAAAGUGGACGUAUACGGUGUGACGCCUGCCCGGUGCCGGAAGGUUAAUUGAUGGGGUUAUCCGUAAGGAGAAGCUCUUGAUCGAAGCCCCGGUAAACGGCGGCCGUAACUAUAACGGUCCUAAGGUAGCGAAAUUCCUUGUCGGGUAAGUUCCGACCUGCACGAAUGGCGUAAUGAUGGCCAGGCUGUCUCCACCCGAGACUCAGUGAAAUUGAACUCGCUGUGAAGAUGCAGUGUACCCGCGGCAAGACGGAAAGACCCCGUGAACCUUUACUAUAGCUUGACACUGAACACUGGUCCUUGAUGUGUAGGAUAGGUGGGAGGCUUUGAAGUGUGGACGCCAGUCUGCAUGGAGCCAUCCUUGAAAUACCACCCUUUAAUGGCUGGUGUUCUAACGUGGGCCCGUAAUCCGGGUUGCGGACAGUGUCUGGUGGGUAGUUUGACUGGGGCGGUCUCCUCCUAAAGAGUAACGGAGGAGCACGAAGGUCAGCUAAUCCUGGUCGGACAUCAGGAGGUUAGUGCAAUGGCAUAAGCUGGCUUGACUGCGAGCGUGACGGCGCGAGCAGGUGCGAAAGCAGGUCAUAGUGAUCCGGUGGUUCUGAAUGGAAGGACCAUCGCUCAACGGAUAAAAGGUACUCCGGGGAUAACAGGCUGAUACCGCCCAAGAGUUCAUAUCGACGGCGGUGUUUGGCACCUCGAUGUCGGCUCAUCACAUCCUGGGGCUGAAGUAGGUCCCAAGGGUAUGGCUGUUCGCCAUUUAAAGUGGUACGCGAGCUGGGUUUAGAACGUCGUGAGACAGUUCGGUCCCUAUCUGCCGUGGGCGCUGGAGAAUUGAGGGGGGCUGCUCCUAGUACGAGAGGACCGGAGUGGACGCAUCACUGGUGUUCGGGUUGUCAUGCCAAUGGCAUUGCCCGGUAGCUAAAUGCGGAAGAGAUAAGUGCUGAAAGCAUCUAAGCACGAAACUUGCCCCGAGAUGAGUUCUCCCUGACUCCUUGAGAGUCCUGAAGGAACGUUGAAGACGACGACGUUGAUAGGCCGGGUGUGUAAGCGCAGCGAUGCGUUGAGCUAACCGGUACUAAUGAACCGUGAGGCUUAACCUU